rnacentral:rRNA from 1 species
AGAGUUUGAUCCUGGCUCAGAACGAACGCUGGCGGCGUGCUUAACACAUGCAAGUCGAACGGGAUCCAGAGCUUGCUCUGGUGAGAGUGGCGCACGGGUGAGUAACGCGUGGAUAACCUGCCCUGGUAUCCGGAAUAACAUCUCGAAAGGGGUGCUAAUACCGGAUAAGCCUACGGAGCCCUCGGUCUCUGCAGGAAAAGGUGGCCUCUAUUUAUAAGCUACCGUAUCAGGAUGGGUCCGCGUACCAUUAGCUAGUUGGUGGGGUAAUGGCCUACCAAGGCGACGAUGGUUAGCUGGUCUGAGAGGAUGAUCAGCCACACUGGAACUGAGACACGGUCCAGACUCCUACGGGAGGCAGCAGUGGGGCAUUUUGCGCAAUGGGGGAAACCCUGACGCAGCAACGCCGCGUGAGUGAUGAAGGCUUUCGGGUCGUAAAGCUCUGUCAGAGGGGAAGAAAUGAGAUUGGCUAAUAUCCAAUUUUCUUGACGGUACCCUCAAAGGAAGCACCGGCAACUCCGUGCCAGCAGCCGCGGUAA